GGGGUUAUAGCUCAAUGGUAGAGCACAUGCUUAGCAUGCACAAGGUCCUGGGUUCAAUCCCCAGUACCUCCA
rnacentral:tRNA from 1 species